CUCUCUCUCGCUCUCUCUCUCUCGCUCCCCGCAUUUUUGGUGGUGUUUGGUGGAGGGGGGUGGUGAGGAGGAGUGCCGGUGCUAUAAUCCUAUUGGGGAUUUCAGUUUUUAAUUGCUUUAAUAAACUUGAUUAUGAUUUAGAGUUGAAUGCUCUCUUUUGUUGGGUGUUUUGUACGAUUUAAUUGUCUUCGGUUGUUCUUUUUAAAUGUCUGGUACUGAUGUUUGAGAUUGUUUCUUUGAAUUAUUGUCAGUUUAUAUGUGUGUUCUUAAUAUAGCUUCUGGGGAUUUGUUACUGAAUGGUAGGGCAGCAGCAAUGGGCUAUUUCAUAUAGAGAUCACAAAAUGCCAUUAUUCAAUAGCAUAGGCUACCUCAUGGCAUUUGGAACCAAAGUCAAAUGUUUUUUUUUUUUUUUUUUUU
rnacentral:misc_RNA from 1 species